GCUCGGGUGGCGGAAUUGGCAGACGCGCCAGCUUGAGGGGCUGGUGGGCUUCGGCCCAUGGAGGUUCGAGUCCUCUCCCGAGCA
rnacentral:tRNA from 2 species